AGCAUCACACAACCAGUUAUAGUUAGAGUUAUAGUAUAGGAACAGGGUUGGAGAGCCCUGAGGGAGAAGGUAUAGUACAGGAACAGGGUUGGAGAGCCCUGAGGGAGAAGGUAUAGUACAGGAACAGGGUUGGAGAGCCCUGAGGGAGAAGGUAUAGUACAGGAACAGGGUUGGAGAGCCCUGAGGGAGAAGGUAUAGUACAGGAACAGGGUUGGGGAGCCCUGAGGGAGACAGUAUAGUACAGGAACAGGGUUGGAGAGCCCUGAGGGAGACAGUAUAGUACAGGAACAGGGUUGGAGAGCCCUGAGGGAGAAGGUAUAGUACAGGAACAGGGUUGGAGAGCCCUGAGGGAGACAGUAUAGUACAGGAACAGGGUUGGAGAGCCCUGAGGGAGAAGGUAUAGUAUAGGAACAGGGUUGGAGAGCCCUGAGGGAGAAGGUAUAGUACAGGAACAGGGUUGGAGAGCCCUGAGGGAGACAGUAUAGUACAGGAACAGGAUUGGAGAGCCCUGAGGGAGACAGUAUAGUACAGGAACAGGGUUGGAGAGCCCUGAGGGAGACAGUAUAGUACAGGAACAGGGUUGGAGAGCCCUGAGGGAGAAGGUAUAGUACAGGAACAGGGUUGGAGAGCCCUGAGGGAGACAGUAUAGUACAGGAACAGGAUUGGAGAGCCCUGAGGGAGACAGUAUAGUACAGGAACAGGGUUGGAGAGCCCUGAGGGAGACAGUAUAGUACAGGAACAGGGUUGGAGAGCCCUGAGGGAGACAGUAUAGUACAGGAACAGGGUUGGAGAGCCCUGAGGGAGACAGUAUAGUACAGGAACAGGGUUGGAGAGCCCUGAGGGAGAAGGUAUAGUACAGGAACAGGGUUGGAGAGCCCUGAGGGAGACAGUAUAGUACAGGAACAGGGUUGGAGAGCCCUGAGGGAGACAGUAUAGUACAGGAACAGGGUUGGAGAGCCCUGAGGGAGACAGUAUAGUACAGGAACAGGGUUGGAGAGCCCUGAGGGAGACAGUAUAGUACAGGAACAGGGUUGGAGAGCCCUGAGGGAGACAGUAUAGUACAGGAACAGGGUUGGAGAGGGUACAGGGUUCUAGACCAGGAUACUCUCUCCCUGUACA